UCUAGCAGGCGUAAAUGACGGUUGAGCUUUAAUUGCUUUAUUACUAUUUUUGGGUAAUCCCGGAAUUGUCCACUCCGGAAAUUUAAUAUUGAGGUCAGGUAAAUAGGGAUAUUUUAUUCCUGAGGGGUAGAGAUUAUUGUGGGUAUGAAAAAAUAUUUUAUCCACAUAAAAAUCAUGGGAGCGUCGACGACAGGUGGCAGGACUAUGAUUCGUGGUUAUUUUCUACCUUCUUGGGUGGAUGAUGUCGUUGAUGUAUCAGGACGUAUUUGUCAAACAACACAGAACACUUGGAACUGGUAUUACACGUUAAGCAGGAUAGGAGAGGAUUGCUUGUAGGGAUUGAAGGGGCUUGCUAGGAAUGGAGCAAAGCAGAGAGGAUUGACUAAAGUAGAGGCUCAGUUCCGGGGGUUCGAGUGACCCCAGCUGCAUCGUAGUACUGCACCCCAAGAGAGGGAGGGCGCCACACGCAAUGUUGAGGUGUCUAUCAAGUCGACGGGGUGAAUUUUAUUUUCUGCUACUGCCAUCCAACCCCUUCACCUGGACCUGAAACAAAGUACCUGGUGGCAGGUCAGACAGUUGCACCGGCCAGACUCCAGAUAGGGU